GUCCCCAUCGUCUAGAGGCCUAGGACACCGCCCUUUCACGGCGGCAACACGGGUUCGAAUCCCGUUGGGGAUG
rnacentral:tRNA from 1 species